GCAGAGGUAACCUAAGCCCAGCACACUCAAUGGUAGAGCCCCAGCCUUCCAAGCUGGCCAUGCCGGUUCGAUCCCGGUCACCCGCUCCA
rnacentral:tRNA from 1 species